AUUGAACGCUGGCGGCAUGCCUUACACAUGCAAGUCGAACGGCAGCACGGACUUCGGUCUGGUGGCGAGUGGCGAACGGGUGAGUAAUGUAUCGGAACGUGCCCAGUAGUGGGGGAUAACUACUCGAAAGAGUGGCUAAUACCGCAUGAGAUCUCUGGAUGAAAGCGGGGGACCGUAAGGCCUCGCGCUACUGGAGCGGCCGAUAUCAGAUUAGGUAGUUGGUAGGGUAAGAGCCUACCAAGCCAACGAUCUGUAGCUGGUCUGAGAGGACGACCAGCCACACUGGGACUGAGACACGGCCCAGACUCCUACGGGAGGCAGCAGUGGGGAAUUUUGGACAAUGGACGCAAGUCUGAUCCAGCAAUACCGCGUGCAGGACGAAGGCCUCGGUUGUAAC
rnacentral:rRNA from 1 species